UGGAGUUGUAGAGUGAAUUAGACAGUAGUGAUAACAUUAUAAUGUCCACACAUCAGUGUUGUAAACACUUCUCCAAUUAAUUAUAUAAUUAUGUUUUCACACUGAGGGAAGUGGAGAGACUUGAUGUGGACUGUUAUCAACAGCUCUGUGGGAGAUCAUCACCUUGAAUAUUACAGAUGAGAUGAAGAACUGCAGCACCUGAUGUCCUCAGCAGCAACAUGGUGGAGAUCUGAUUUGAUACACUUUAGAUAAGAACCCAGUGUUUUAUAUUUCUGCUUUGCCAUAAGAGACAGAACAUGGUCAUCACAGCUGUGUCCUUCAGGCUCGUCUGUCCCUAAUAAAAUGAUAGGAAACAUGAAA